rnacentral:tRNA from 1 species
GGAGGCGUCGCCAAGUGCUAAGGCAUCGGUUUUGGUACCGACAUUCCCAGGUUCGACACCUGGCGCCCCAGCCA